rnacentral:rRNA from 1 species
AGCGAACGCUGGCGGCAGGCCUAACACAUGCAAGUCGAACGAACCUUUCGGGGUUAGUGGCGGACGGGUGAGUAACACGUGGGAACGUGCCUUUAGGUUCGGAAUAACUCAGGGAAACUUGUGCUAAUACCGAAUGUGCCCUUCGGGGGAAAGAUUUAUCGCCUUUAGAGCGGCCCGCGUCUGAUUAGCUAGUUGGUUGAGGUAAUGGCUCACCAAGGCGACGAUCAGUAGCUGGUCUCUGAGGAUGAUCAGCCACAUUGGGACUGAGACACGGCCCAAACUCCUACGGGAGGCAGCAGUGGGGAAUCUUGCGCAAUGGGCGAAAGCCUGACGCAGCCAUGCCGCGUGAAUGAUGAAGGUCUUAGGAUUGUAAAAUUCUUUCACCGGGGACGAUAAUGACGGUACCCGGAGAAGAAGCCCCGGCUAACUUCGUG